UACUCUCCUUUUCUCACUCUGAGCUCAUUUCCUAAAACCCUAGCACCGUUUCUCUCUCAGUUCCUAUCAAAUUCGAGAGAUUUCUCUCUCCAUUUCUCUCAACCUAGCCCCAGCGCUGCUCACCCCAUUCCUCUUCAUCAUCUCAGUUAAAUCCGUUGAACAAUCAACGAUGCACCUCCACACGACCCAUAUCGAAUUAUCCUCCUGCCUACGAACCAACCUCCAUUUCGUGGAUCCAUCAUCCUUGCAAGUCGCCGACACCCACAAAUGAACUCAGAUACCACCAUCAAAAGUAGGGUGGAGCUCUCGAAGAUGUCAGAUUUGAGAAGGGAAAAGGAGCGGAGCGGAAUGCGCGAGCUCUGCUUCCGGGCCUCCCCGAAACGCUUGCAGAAAGAUAGGUGCUUGGAUGGGAGUGGACGUAGGAGCAGGGAGUGUUGCGAGGAGGGGAAGUAGUAUCAUCAUCUGCUGUGUUGCAGUAGUGAAGGGAUCAGACGUCGGUAUGGCAUCUGCUAGCCUGGGGAAUGGUGGAGUUGGCAGUUCAAGCGGGCCUGGAAGUGAUUUUCCGGGAACAGGAAAGGUAAUUGAGAUUAGUCUCUUAUUGGUUGAUCAUCCUCUAUAUAUUUGAUGAAGCUUCAACUGGCUUCUACUAGACAACCCCUCAUUUCUUUAUGGUAAUUGAGCUUCAUCUCUAAUUGUUUAUUGUCUGAUUAGAUUAUUAUAAUAUUUGGGUUGUUGGAUAUGUUGGAUUUGAAUUGAAUUUUUGUUUUCAUUUUUCAUGGUGAUGGAUUUUCGAAUGAAAUGCACUCAACCCUGAAUUCCAGUGGGGGUGGCUGAAGCAGCUGCCGGAUAUGACUUAUGGCAGCCAAGGUUCCCUUAUUGUCAUGCUUUUAGUUUUAUUAAAUAUGACAAGUUGGUAUAAAUAUAUAUGUAUAUAGAGAACUUACAUCUCUUGAUAGAUUGUGUUGCUAGAUAGUUUUUCACGUUCCUGCUCAAAAUAAAGUUUAUCAUGUUAUUCUGUCCAACUAUUGAUUUGGAACAACGUUAUGUAAAUACUUUUCACACACCAUACUUAUAACACAUUAGUCCUGUAUUUGAAGACUUAUAUACAAUACUUAUAAUUUGGAUGAAGAGAUCCUGAUCUUUGUUUUUGGGAGUUUUUUAUGCUCUGCUUUUUGAGCGAAUCUUUGUUUAUCAUUUUUUAUCAUAACAUGGUCAUAUGGUGUUACUGUCCAUCCUUUUAGUUGUUAAAAUCUGCUUUUUUGAGUUGUACAUAGAACUCAUAACGUAGAACUAGAAAAAUGCAGGUGCAGAAUGAACGACUAAUCAAUGUGAGAGAAGGGUUCAAUUUUAAAUGGGUUGUUAUCAACCAUUGAAUUGCUUUUGGAGUUUUCAUUUGAUAAGAGAGAUGGGGGAUUCUUUUGGGUGAAACUUUUAAUCCGUGAGAUUUUUAGUUAGGUUGUGUUGUGGGUUUUUGCAAAUUUCUAUCGUGUUUGUGCAUGCAUUUUUUGUUAUAGAUUUGGAAGAAAAUAGCAUUACAGGAUGUUGAGGGUUUGUUGGUGGGGGAAGGCAGCAGCGUUAAGAUUUUGCAGGUGAGAUAUUAGGGUGAGAGAAAAAGGGGACAAAGAGCAUCGAAGACACAUUUGGGAUUAGGGGUAGCAAAACAAGGGAAAAGAAUAUGACAGAGGAAUGGACUCUUAAUUUUUUCUUAACUGGUUUGGGAUUUUUCUUGCCUUUGGUGUCAAUCGGUGUCUGUUUUUUCAUAAUUUUUAUUACUAAUUUUUAUGUCGUUUGCGAUUUUGUAUCCUAGGAUUUUUGAAUUUUAUUGUUCAUUAUCGGUUUUUUAAAAAAAAAAUUUGUCUUUGUUUGUUUGUUUUAUAUGUUGUGUUUGUGCUGGGACGCUGUUUUGCAAGUUCUCCUUCCAUUGGGACCGCUGCAUUUUUAAAGUGUUGAGGGGGAUCACUACAGUUUGGGAGUCAAAAUGACCACACUACCUCGUCAAGGGUUCAGAUCAUGCCGUCAGGUGAUAUGAGAGAGGGGGUUGGAUGGUAAUUUUGUCCAUAUGGUUUCGGACGGAUUGGGAUGAGUCAGGGACUUUGUUCAUUUAGUUUGUUUCUAAGAGAGAGAGAGAGGGGUGAGGAUGUCAGUGUCGAUCUUUGAUUCAGUGAGUGAGAGUGUGACAGUGAAAGAGAGGGGGAUCAUCGGGAUUUCAGGGAGAGAAACACAGAGAGAGGGGUGAUGGUGAACAAGCGCGAGUAUGGUCCCUUAGUCCGGGAGUCACUCUUCAUUGUCCAUACUGUAUUGCAUGCUCAGAUAAGUGUCUUUUUCAAUUACAUUUUGUACUAAAAUCUAUUUUUUUUAAUUGUUUCUUGCAUUUAUAUCUGCGUGAAUAUGGUGAUUGAAAAGCCCAAAAAAAAUUUUUUUGUACUGGUUUUGUUAGGUUAGGCAGCAUGGUUUUUGGUUAUUUUAUUGUUAUUUUUUAAAUCGGUUGGGGGAUUUUCUGGGCGUCUAUUUAAUUGUUUGCCCUUUGGUUUUUUUCAUUCUGGGUUCCCCUCUUUCAUUAGAGAGUACAAAAUUUCCAAAGGUAAACAUCCUAUCCCUUGCUUCGCUUUUCUGUCCAUAGCCAAUAAUCGGUGAAAUAAGUGUGGUUCUUGGAUCUGCGGUCUGAAACAAAAAAAUUUGUCUAUUCUCUGUGCCAGCUAAUGUAUCUAUGAUUUCUUUGCAGGACACUACUGCAACGCUCAAGUCUGUUUGGAAAAUGGAGAGCACACGACUUAAGUAUCUCAGACCCAAGGAGAACGAUUUAGAGCAAAUGACUCAAAAAGUUAAACUUCAAUAUCGAAAUUAAUGGAAACCCAUUGGUAUGAUUUCUUCAUCUGAAAUUUUUGAUUACCCAAUUGGUUGUUUCAUCAAUUAAUUGUGUGUAAACAUUUAUGUGUAAUUUUUUACUUCUUCCACUUAAAUGGUAAGAUCAAAUUAAGCUUAAGAACUUUGGGUUUUGUAAAUGUUGUGUAAUUAAAUUAUUCAUAUUGUCAAUUAAUUUUGAGCAAACAUUAUGGGUAGUUGUUAAUUUCCCUCAAUAUUUGAUAAUAAUUAAACUAAAGCUGAGAACUUUGUAUUUUGUUCAUUACCUGACGUAGAUUUUACUUGACAGAGAAUGUACUUUCCUUGAUAUUAUUCAUGUUUUGUUUUCUUUCAUAUCGCGUUGUAAUGGGUCUCUUUGGAAAAACAAUUCUUAAGACCAAUUGUGAGGUUUGUUCUUACAUGGUACAUGAGUGUUUUUAUAAUUCUUUUGCACAGUUGUUAGUAUUUGUAGUUGUGAUUGGUGUUGUCCUAAAUGUUUGACUUGAAGAAAUAAGACACUACUUUUGAUGAACCA